GGAGGCGUCCAAAGGUUCCCUCAGCACGGUCGGAAAUCGUGCAAAGAGUGCAAAGGCAAAAGGGAGCUUGAUUGCGAGACCAACAAGUCGAGCAAAUACGAAAGUAGGGCUUAGUGAUCCGGUGGUAGAAAGUGGAAUUGCCAUCGCUCAACGGAUAAAAGCUACCCUGGGGAUAACAGGCUGAUCUCCCCCAAGAGUUCACAUCGACGGGGAGGUUUGGCACCUCGAUGUCGGCUCAUCACAUCCUGGGGCGGAAGUACGUCCCAAGGGUUGGGCUGUUCGCCCAUUAAAGUGGUACGCGAGCUGGGUUCAGAACGUCGUGAGACAGUUCGGUCCCUAUCCGUCGCAGGCGCAGGAUAUUUGAGAGGAGCUUUCCUUAGUACGAGAGGACCGGGGAGGACACACCACUGGUGCACCAGUUGUUUUGCCAAAAGCAUAGCUGGGUAGCUAUGUGUGGAACUGAUAAGUGCUGAAGGCAUCUAAGCACGAAGCAAACCUCAAGAUAAGAUAUCCCAUCGAAAGAGUAAGACCCCUCUAAGACUAAGAGGUAGAUAGGCAAGAGGUGUAAGUGUAGUAAUACAUUAAGCUAACUUGUACUAAUAGGUCGAGGACUUAACCUA
rnacentral:ncRNA from 1 species